CUUCAUGUAGUUUACAAAAAACCUUUUAUUUUCAUUAAAAAAAUAAUCAUUAAAGAUUUAUGAAUG
rnacentral:tRNA from 1 species